rnacentral:tRNA from 1 species
GCCAGGUUGCCCGAGCGGCCAAAGGGAGCGGUCUGUAAAACCGCCGGCACUGCCUUCCAAGGUUCGAAUCCUUGACCUGGCA